GGGAACCUCACCCGGCCCGGACACCGCGAGGAUUGACAGACUGAGAGCUCUUUCUCGAUUCGGUGGGUGGUGGUGCAUGGCCGUUCUUAGUUGGUGGAGUGAUUUGUCUGGUUAAUUCCGUUAACGAACGAGACCUUAACCUGCUAAAUAGUGACACGGUUAUUUUAACCGUGGUUCACUUCUUAGAGGGACUAUCGCUUUCAAAGCGAUGGAAGUUUGAGGCAAUAA
rnacentral:rRNA from 1 species